GUGGUGACUGUCACUAGUCACCCCAUCCCUCCCUCUGUCACUAAUCACCACCUCCCUCACUCUGUCACUAGUCACCUCUUCCCUCUCUCUGUCACUAGUCACACCCUCCCUCUCCCUGUCACUAGAGUGAGGGGGUGACUAGUGACAGAGUGAGGGGGUGACAGAGUGAGGGAAGGGGUGACUAGUGGCAGAGUAAGGGAAGGAAGGGGUGACUAGUGACAGAGUGAAGGAGGUGGUGACUGUCACUAGUCACCACCUCCCUCACUCUGUCACUAGUCACCACCUCCCUCUGUCACUAGUCCCUCCUUCUGUCACUAGUCACCCCCUCCCUCACUCGGUCACCAGUCAUCCCGUCCCUCUGUCACCAGUCAUCUGCUCACUCUGUCACCAGUCACCCCUUCCUUCCCUCACUCUGUCACCAGUCAUUCCCUCACUCUGUCACCAGUCAUUCCCUCACUCUAGUGA